rnacentral:rRNA from 1 species
UACGAAGGGGGCUAGCGUUGCUCGGAAUCACUGGGCGUAAAGGGUGCGUAGGCGGCUCUUUAAGUCGGGGGUGAAAUCCUGGAGCUCAACUCCAGAACUGCCUUUGAUACUGAGGAUCUUGAGUUCGGGAGAGGUGAGUGGAACUGCGAGUGUAGAGGUGAAAUUCGUAGAUAUUCGCAAGAACACCAGUGGCGAAGGCGGCUCACUGGCCCGAUACUGACGCUGAGGCACGAAAGCGUGGGGAGCAAACAGG